UACGUAGGGUGCAAGCGUUAAUCGGAAUUACUGGGCGUAAAGCGUGCGCAGGCGGUGAUGUAAGACAGAUGUGAAAUCCCCGGGCUCAACCUGGGAACUGCAUUUGUGACUGCAUCGCUGGAGUGCGGCAGAGGGGGAUGGAAUUCCGCGUGUAGCAGUGAAAUGCGUAGAUAUGCGGAGGAACACCGAUGGCGAAGGCAAUCCCCUGGGCCUGCACUGGACGCUCAUGCACGAAAGCGUGGGGAGCAAACAGGG
rnacentral:rRNA from 1 species